AGCAGCCGCGGUAAUUCCAGCUCCAAUAGCGUAUAUUAAAGUUGUUGCAGUUAAAAAGCUCGUAGUUGAAUUUCGGGAUUGGCGCAUCGGUCGUGCCUCACGGGGUAUGAACUGGUGCAGUCAAUUUCUCACCUUCUGGAGAACCGCGAUGUCCUUAAUUGGAUGCCGCGGGGAACCAGGACCUUUACUUUGAAGAAAUUAGAGUGUUUAAAGCAGGCAUUUUUGCUUGAAUACAUUAGCAUGGAAUAAUAAAAUAGGACGGCAUGGUUCUAUUUUGUUGGUUUCUAGGACCACCGUAAUGAUUAAUAGGGAUAGUUGGGGGCAUUAGUAUUCAAUUGUCAGAGGUGAAAUUCUUGGAUUUAUUGAAGACUAACUACUGCGAAAGCAUUUGCCAAGGAUGUUUUCAUUAAUCAAGAACGAAAGUUAGGGGAUCGAAGACGAUCAGAUACC
rnacentral:rRNA from 1 species